CUUAUGUUGAAAUGAACACCGCAAAAGCAUAUUACUGACACUUAUUUGUUCUUGUUGUGCGUGACACUAUCCAUCUACAUGCCACUAUUUGAGCCGCUGCAUUGGUUAUUGUGGUUGACAACAGUCAACAGUAAAUUAAAAUGGUAAGUUCAGUAACCCAAAACUCUAUUACAAUAAAAAUCAGCAUGUGUUUGAUUUUAGUACAUCAAAAAAUGAUUUUUCAUCUGAUACUGGUCUUCUGUGUUUCUUUCUGUGCUUAAAUUUCUUAAUCUACGUGUCGCUGAGUGAACCACAAUGGAAAAUGUGUCAAGAAGGGUCAUGGGACAACUUUGCCAUGUGGUACGCCAUCAUUUUCUAACUGUGCGGGCUGGAGGAUCUGGAGUUAACGUUUCACAGUGAAGAGCAGAAGAGGUUUGGACUUGCAGCUGUUUGCCCAACAGGUCAACAGGGUAACUUCAUCGAGAAGCUAACGUUAGACGUGCUGCUGCUGUCUUCUUUUCUCUGAGAAUGAGAUUCAACUGCUAGUUCUGUGUGACAUUAACAUCCAUCUGGACCAGCAACGAACGGCUGUCUUCCCACCUCUAACUUCUUGCAGCUCUUUACUUUGUCACUUUAUUUUGCUAAUAAGCUAGAUGACAAAAUAUGUUUGAUCUAUCAAAGCUUUGCGACGAUAUAAGUCAUACACCCAUUCUGACUAAUCAGAAAUAUGAUACACAUAUACAACAGGACAAUUUGAGGAUGCGCAGCUUUGCGUAACAUCAUAACUCUGCAAUGGUUUGAUUAAGGAAAUUCAAAUUUGCUGUGUAUCUUUUUCAUGGCAAGUACUAAGCCAUAAAAAAGGAAAAUCAGUUCUACAAAUCAACAAAAAUGGCCAUCAGCCAAUCAAAUUUCAGUGGCUAAUAAUAGUAAUGGAUUACUAUGAUGAAAAUAGUUAUAUUCAGUAUACACUGUGUGAAAAUGAGUAUUAUAUUGUAGCCUAUAUGUGGGUCAGGAUGUUCCUUUUGGCGUCAGCAUUAAAUUCAAUUUACAAAAGUGAUUUUAUAUACAUAGAAAGCAUAUUAGAUGCAAGUAAAGUGUCUACGUUAAUUAAAUGAAAAAAGUAAUGAUGCUUCCUGUAAAUGUCUGACAAAUAUGAGCUUUUAUGUACUGAAUGACAUUUUUCAGAGCGCAUUCUGUAAAUCAUGUUAAAAAAUGUAUGAUAGUCAUUAUUUUUUGACUGAUUGAUAGAUCAGUUAGAUUUUUUUUUUUAGAACUUUCGAACUUUGACACAUAUAUGUGCAUAGUGUUUUUCUGUCAAUUUGUCUUUUCCUUUUUCUUUCUAUGCUGUAUACACCUGACAUGUUUGA